rnacentral:rRNA from 1 species
UGGGGAAUCUUGCACAGUGGGGGCAACCCUGAUGCAGCGACGCCGCGUGAGCGAUGAAGCCCUUCGGGGCGUAAAGCUCUUUCGACCGGAACGAUAAUGACGGUACCGGGAGAAGGAGCUGCGGCUAGCUACGUGCCAGCAGCCGCGGUAAUACGUAGGCAGCAAGCGUUGUUCGGAGUUACUGGGCGUAAAGAGUGCGUAGGCGGUUUUCUAAGUUCGGUGUGAAAUCUCCCGGCUUAACUGGGAGGGUGCGCCGAAGACUGGGAAGCUGGAGUGUGGGAAAGGCAGGCGGAAUUCCUGGUGUAGCGGUGAAAUGCGUAGAUAUCAGGAGGAACACCGGCGGUGUAGACGGCUUGCUAGACCAUAACUGACGCUGAGGCACGAAAGCGUGGGUAGCAAACA